GAUGAACGCUGGCGGCGUGCCUAACACAUGCAAGUCGAACGUGAUUGACUUUCGGGUCAUGAAAGUGGCGCACGGGUGAGUAACACGUAGCUGACCUGCCCCGAACACCGGGAUAACGGAUCGAAAGGUCUGCUAAUACCGGAUAAGCUCACGGCUUUUAGAAAGCUGAGAGAAAAGCUCCGACGGUUCGGGAGGGGGCU
rnacentral:rRNA from 1 species